UUAGUACCUCGCGUCAGAGUCGAAGCUGCGGCGUGCUACACAUGCAAGUCGAACGGGGAUAUAUUGGAAUGAGGAUUCGUCUGAAGGAAAAUAGUAUCUUAGUGGCGGACGGUGAGUAACGCGUGGGCAACUACCGUAUACAGGGGAUAACACUUAGAAAUAGGUGCUAAUACCGCAUAAGCGCACAGCAGUGCAUACUGGAGUGUGAAAAGCCGAGACGGUAUACGAUGGGCCCGCGUCUGAUUAGCCAGUUGGCAGGGUAACGGCCUACCAAAGCGACGAUCAGUAGCCGGCCUGAGAGGGCGGACGGCCACAUUGGGACUGAGACACAGCCCAGACUCCUACGGGAGGCAGCAGUGGGGGAUAUUGCACAAUGGGGGGAACCCUGAUGCAGCGACGCCGCGUGAGUGAAGAAGUAAUUCGUUAUGUAAAGCUCUAUCAGCAGGGAAGAAUAAAUGACGGUACCUGAGUAAGAAGCCCCGGCUAACUACGUG
rnacentral:rRNA from 1 species